ncrna:Nasonia vitripennis (jewel Type-P1 twister ribozyme ribozyme sequence
UUUGUAAUGCGGGCGUUAUUAUUAAAAAUGUUGUAUUUAAUAAUUAACGACAGUCUCCACCCUGUGAAACGCAGAGAGCAAA